AUGUAUAGCAUUAGCUAAUUAUAUUUAAAUAAAUAUAAUAUCGACUAUGUCGAAUAAAAUUCUGGGUAGUUUAUGAUGAUGACAUUUACUAUCUAUAUGUCUUGACCAAAUCACGUGCCAGCAGUCGCGGUAAGACGUGGAAGACUAGUGUUAUUCAUCUUAAAUAGGUUUAAAGGGUACCUAGACGGUAAAUCCAGCCAAAUAGGUACAGAUUUGCUAGAGUUUAAUAUGUAAGAAGGUAGUAUUUUUGGUGGAGAGAUGGAAUAUUUUUAUACCAAAAGGACUGAUAAAAGUGAAAGCAACCUUAAUGUAUUUUUAUAAUACAUUGAUCUAUGUAUAAACUGACGUUGAGGGACGAAGGCCUGGGGAGCGAUGAGGAUUAGAUACCCUAAUAGUCCAGGCAGAAAAUUAUGAAUGUCAUAAACUAGAUAUAUUUAGUUUAUAAAUGAAAGUGUAAGCAUUCCACCUUAAGAGUAAUGCGGCAAGGCAGGAACUGAAAUCAUUAGACCGUUUCUGAAACCAGUAGUGAAGUAUGUUAUUUAAUUCGAUGACCCACGAAAAACCUUACCACAAUUUGAAUAUUAUUUUACAAGAAAAAUAUAAUUUAAUAAAUAUUACAAGCGCUGCACGGCUGUCUUCAGUUAAUGUCGUGAGAUUUGGUUUGCUCCAUUAAAUUAACGUAAACCCUUGCUUUAUUUAGUUUUUAUAAUAAAGUUGUUCGUCUAAAUAUAGGACAAUGCUAAAUGGGAUUAAGA
rnacentral:rRNA from 1 species